CAGUUUAUACCGUAGCUUGCUACACCAUAGACUGUGAGUUGCGAACGGAUGAGUAACACGUGGGUAACCUACCCAUCAGAGGGGGAUAACACUUGGAAACAGGUGCUAAUACCGCAUAACAGUUUAUGCCGCAUGGCAUAAGAGUGAAAGGCGCUUUCGGGUGUCGCUGAUGGAUGGACCCGCGGUGCAUUAGCUAGUUGGUGAGGUAACGGCUCACCAAGGCCACGAUGCAUAGCCGACCUGAGAGGGUGAUCGGCCACACUGGGACUGAGACACGGCCCAGACUCCUACGGGAGGCAGCAGUAGGGAAUCUUCGGCAAUGGACGAAAGUCUGACCGAGCAACGCCGCGUGAGUGAAGAAGGUUUUCGGAUCGUAAAACUCUGUUGUUAGAGAA
rnacentral:rRNA from 1 species